AAAAUUACAAGUCGUAGUUUUAAAAUAAUAAUUAGCCGGUCCAUCCUUCCGAAGGUCAGAAAGAUUCACAGAGGCUUUUGACCCUCCCUUGUCCAUCAUCAUAUGAUUUAUUAGCGCCAGGAGUUGAACCCAAAACGUAUCAUGUGAAAUACAGAAGUAUGCAUUAACAGAUCUAGUAAUGGAAAUUUAGUAACAGAAAUCAAGCACUUGAAAAUGUGCAUAGCAGCAAUUCUCAAAAGGAUGAAAUGAGAAGAUAUCACAUUAACAACAUAGAAAUAAGAUAAACAAUGCAUCUGUAUUAUCUUCCCAAAGAGGAUGAGAAAAACAGUAAAUCUGUAGGAUUUCAACUGAAUUAGUACUACGCAUUCCACCAACCGUGGCACAAACAUCCUUCGGAAUCAUCCAACCGUGGCAUCCUACCGGCAGCGGUGGUGGCAUGGAUAGUAGCAUUUCAUAACUCCGUCCAGCUCUGCCGUGACUUUCUGCUUCUCCCUGUACGGCUGCUGCUCUUCAUCUUCACCCAUAAAACUUCUCAACUCUGACUAUGGAAUCUGCUUCGACUAACAAUCGACAGCUACUAACACCCGCUGCUUCAACUUUCCUACAUCUUUUCUUCAUCGCCCUUCGGUAAGUCUCCAGGACAGGAACCAAACACAGAACGAGCUAAAAACAUGUUCAAAAUAAACUUCUGGAUCUCUUAUGUGUCCCCUCCUGUUUCUUUUCCAAUCAACCAUUCUUGUGUAACCUCCUCUCCUCCUCACAAAUCUAAUCUUCACUCUCUUUUGUUCCCCUUUUUUCUCUUUUUUUUUCUAUUUUUUUAUUUAUUUUCAAUUUCGUUUCCCGGGAGAUUAUCUCUAGCUUCACAAGCUGCGGCUUCCUCCUGGUAACACAAACCCUUACUGCCCCAACCAAGCAUGCACUAAACAGCUUCUGCCCACUUUCGAACACCCGAACCUUGUGGAUUCUGAUCCACAACCAACAGCAAAUGAAUACCUGAUGUCUUUCUCUUAGCCAAAAAGGCAAAAUUGAUACCUGUUCUCCUGACAGAAUAUGGCGCACUUGGGAGCGCCCUUGUCUCCAUGCUUCUCUUGACUGUUAAGUAGACUCUCCAAACAAUGCAAGCAAAGCAAGUCUAGACAAAAUGUCUCCUCAUAAUCGCAGUCUUUAAGGCAGCACCCGCAACUAAUACAGCGAGCUAUGCAGAGCGUGCAAGCCCUACAUGUCUGAUCAGCAGGUUGUUUCCCUUGGCAACUCUUUGCAGGGCAAUCAUAAACUAAACUAAGUCUCUGGCACCUGGGGCAUGCUUCGAUGUCGAUGGGACAAUCAUCAUCACAAGAGCCAUACAACAACCCACCUUUAAAAAACCGAGGUUAAUUUCGGGGCUCUAAGCUGAAUGUGGUGAAUUCAGAGAAACCCUAGUGGAAAUUGGGAAUUAGGAAUUCAGAGAAGCAAAAUCCUAAUGUGGGUAGUAGAUAAAAGAAAAGAUUGAAACGGGUACGGAGAUUAAAAGGAGAAAGAUUGAAAUUUACCGAAUCUGAUGCGGAAGAGGAAAAGCAGUCUGACCCAGCGAUACAAGCAACCGACCGACCAAUCACCCAACUCAAUGAGGAAAGAGGUAGAGAGAGAGAGAGAGAGAGAGAGAGAGAGAGAGAGAGAGAGAGAGAGAGGAGGAGGAGGAGGAAAACCAAAGAGGAGGAGGAGGAGAAGGAGAGGGAGGGAGGUAUUCAGAGAGGGAGAUAACAACAGAGCGUGCGUGCCAAAAAUGGGGGGCACAGAGAGUAAGGGCGGGGAAGGUUGGGAAAAAGACGCGUGGAGGGAGAGAGAGAGAGAGUGGCGGCCGACAGGUCUACCACCUGGAAUCGUGAUUUGUUUUGGAUCAAUGUAUCAAAAAAUGUAACAUGCGUAGUACAAUUAAAAGUGAACGUAAUUUUUAUUUAUACAUUUUUCUUCAUCUCAUCAUGCGUAAAGUACAUCCAUAUCUAGCUUCCUAGCUGCUCCUCUAUACUUGAAACUACUCCUACUGUUGGUCAUGAACGAGUACAGAUAAGAUUAAAAAAUAACGAGUAAAAAUAAUAUCCCAAAUCUAGACCGUGGUAGAAGUUAUUUGAGGAAGCUCAUCAUUUUGUUCUUCAGGUUCUGUUGCGAAACGUCGGAUAAUCAUGUUCAAAUAAUCUUUCAAUUUGCCAAAUGUAUGAAUAACUGAUGCAAAUGCAUUUUCAUACAACGUUUUGAGGUAUUCGCACUCAGCUACAACCUUCACAAACCAAACAACCCAAAAGAAUCCAGCGACUAGCCCUAAACUUGGCACAAGGAUCACCACUUCUAAAAUCAAGGAAAGAGUUCCAAGGAGUAGGCUAAUCUUAUUGCUGAAUGAUUUUGCCAAAUCCGAAUUACUACGAGCUUGCACGUGGAGUAUUCUAUAGCCAAUUAGUGAUCCGAUAUAAGCAAUUAGAGCAAUGAUUAGAGACACCAUAGCCGGGUAGUUUGUGUUGAACAGAGACUCAUUUCUGGCUCCCUGCUUGAGUUGGAGGAAAACGCCUAGCAUGGCGAUGAGGAAACAUAUAUAUUUAUGCACCUUUGUAGAACAUUCUUCACUUGUGCUGUUAUAUAUAUAUAUAUAUAUAUAUAUAUAUAUAUAUAUAUAUAUAUAUAUAUAUAUAUAUAUAUAUAUAUAUAUAUAUAUAUAUAUAGUUAAUGAGAAUUAAAUGGAAUUGCACUAAUGAAUCAUCUACAAUAUUUUUUGUAAUCUCAGCUAAUAAGAAAAUGCUAGGGAGACCAUAUUUUUAUAUCACAUUUGUGUACUAAUAUGACAUGACAAGUGAUGUGUACAUACCACAUAAUUGGAUGUUGGUUGUACACAUCACAUGUCAAUACAUCUGUAAAUUAAUCAAGUCAAUAUAUGAUCUGAAAUCAACUAAUUAAGAACGUAUGAUAGAUCCAUAAAUUAAUCAAGUCAAUAUGCCAUCUGAAAUCAACUGAUUAAAUAGGUAAGUUUUACCUAGCAAGCUGUUAUUUUCUUCAAUUUUUAUUAAUAACGAAAAUAUCUAGCCAUUCGACGCUCUUAAUUUAUCAAAAAAUUGCCUAGAGUUAUCAAGAGCUGAUUUGUAUAGAUUAAUUGCUAAUUAAUCGGUUCUUUUUGGUCUCCCCAUCAUUUUCCCCACGUAAAAGGCAACAAAAAAAAGAAAAAGUAUACACUUACCCUUCCAGUUCCGAAUGUGGAUGGACGCUAACGGGAAGCCCUGCGACACGAUCCAUCUGCGUAUAUAUGAAACUUCUGUACAGAGGAACACAAAAACAAAAUUCAGAUCAAAGACUCGUCACACCUUCACACACACACACGCAGACGCAAGAGCUCUGUUUUUUUGUUCUUUUUGUUUUUGAAAUUCCGCCAAAGGAGAACACUCCAAAACAGACGAAAAUACGGCCAAUAGCGGCCGUCAAGCUUAAGACAGUAAUGAAGAUGGCAAGCAGAUAUUCAAAUGGUAACGAGUGAAAUGCGAGCUAAAAAACGCUGUUACUUGAGAACUACACGCACAAAAUGAAACUUGAGAACUACACGCACAAAAUGAAGGCACAAAGAAUAAAAGGGACUUGUUCGAACCAGAAAUAUGAUCUUGUGAGUGAAACAAUGCAACUGGGUGCUGUGCGGCGGUGAUGUUGGGCAGAAGAGAAGGCCUUCUGUCAGCAUAUAUAGAUAUGGUGCAUGAAUGGGAAGUAUGACUACUUCUUCGAAACAGCAUUUUCCCAGAAUGAUCAAUAUUGUUCUUCUUUUAAAAAGCAACGACUGGAGUGGGAAAGUGGCAAAAAGAUUCCUUCGCUCAUUCAAAAAUGAAUCAUGUUUUGGGCUGUUAUUUUGGAGGUGCAUUCUGUGCCCUCCCAUUUUGGGCAGUUAUUUUGGAGGUGGAUUCUCUGCCCUCUCAUUUCCAAACUUUCUCCAUCCCUUUCUAUUUGUGUGCUCACGGUUAAGUCAUGUCAACAUUUUAUAUUUCUAUUACUUUUUGUUUUAUUAUUUUUAUAAAAAAUUAAUAUAAAAUAUUAAUAUGGCUUAACCGUGACCACACAUAGCAGGAGGUCAUAUGAAGAGUAUGGAAAUAGGAGGGCAGACAAUCCACCUCUGUUAUUUUGGGGGCAAAAAGAAAUGUUCUAACUUGUCUCAUAUCUGAUUUUAAAAUCCAUUCUUGAUGUUGUUUCAGGGAGCUUAAGGGGAGGGAUCCCCAUUUUUUCAAAAAAAAUGAGGACACGCUCCCCACCGUUAGAUUGACUUUAAUGAAAUUGUGUGGUUGAGAUUAAAACACAGGCCACAGAAUCUCAACCACAGGAUUUCAUUAAAGUCAAAUGCAACGGUGGGGAACGUAUUCCCAAUUUUUUGAAAAAAUGGGAAUCCCUCCCCUUAAGCAAUUCCGAUGUUGUUUAUUCUUUUCAUUUCUUUUAAAUGCGCGUGUGUUGACAUGCAGAAAAUACUACCAAUCUUACGUGCUCUUGCAAAGUUAAAGCAUAUGAUAAUUCGACGGUCUCCAUUUUGACACAACAGCAAAUCUUUUUAAAUGCGUGUGUGUUUGAGCUGCAUGCAGAAGCUCGCCCCAAUAAUAUUGAUUUCACUAUCACAAACUCCAAAUAUUGAUUCAUGAGGACCACCAAAAAAUCAAUAAAGCAUUGCGAACUCAUGAGGACCACCAAAAUAUUGAUUCUUAAAAUUAGUGCUCUAUCUAGAAAGCUAUUGAUUCAUUCAUUAAAAUUAGUUUUCUAUCUAAAAAGCUAUUGAUUCAUUAAAAUUAGAGAACUUUAACGAAAAGCACCCGGUACUGUUCACUUUAACGAAAAAUCACAUUUUUACACUAAAAUGUCAAUCCUGGUACUAUUCACGUUACCCUUUAUUUUGUCCUUAUCAUUAAAACUUAAAGUUUUCAAGCUCUUUUCAUUAGUUUUCCUUUAAAAUUAGUGCUCUAUCCAUUGAUUCAUUCAUUAAAAUUAGUUUUCUAUCUGAAAAGCUAUUGAUUCAUUAAAAUUAGUGCUCUAUCCAUUGAUUCAUUAAAAUUAGUGCUCUAUCCAUUGAUUCAUUCAUUAAAAUUAGUUUUCUAUCUAAAAAGCUAUUGAUUCAAAAGCGUUGCGUUGUCCAAAAAGAAAAAUCUUUGCGAACUCAUGAGAAUCAUCAAAUCAGCGAUAUCCAAGUUCUACUUAUGAACACACCUUUUUUCAGUUUGACAAGUGAAAUUUGUAUUUAUGGUCUAUACUUGAAAAAAAGAAUUGAGGUUUCUAUUACAAAAUUAAUUGUCAACAUGGGAAAGAAUCAAACUUCUUAUAAGGACUUACAAGAUUGAGCAAACUUCCAAUGUGUGGCAUUUCUUUACAUACCUUCACAACAACAAAUGUCCCUCCAAGUUGACCUAAGAACAAAGGAAUAAAAAAAAAAAGGAAAAAACACGAACACAUUUGUAAAGGAAAAUAAUUUCGCAUGCACUCCGAUAUCAUUGAGAGAUUUUUUAACAUGCCCGGAACACGGCAAAGCAUCACAUAUUAUUAUACAAUUAGAGAAAUUUUUUUUUAAGUAUUCCAACAAUAUUGACAUGUGGUGUUCUGUCUCAGUGCUCCGAUCCUACUAAAAAAUCUUUAGAUAUCAUAGGCUUUCUAAUUAAUAAAACACUAUUAUUUUUAUGUUGAUUUUUCUUUAAUUUAUUAAAUUUAAAUGUCAUAAAUAAACAAAAAGAACAGAGAAAAAUUGUGGACCCUGCAAUGAUUCAAUCAAAUAUCCCUUAUAUUAAAGUGUAUAUCUUCUGGAAAUCUGCAUAUUAACAUGUAAUUAACUCAGGGAUAACAUAAGCAUUUCAUUCUACCUUCACAUAUCACUUGCAUUCAGAAAGGAACCGAAUUACAAUAUCUUAAUUUCUUUUUCUUCUUAAGAAAAGCCAUGGUCAUGCAUCUACACAAACAGCAAAAAUUAGGAAAAACAACUUAAUUAAUUAGGGUUUUAAUUGAUGACAAACAACUUACAUAGAACACUGAGAUUCUCUUACCUUUGAAUCACUGUGAUAGGAGUUUCACUUCUUUCUCUCAUCCACAAGUCAGUCUUUUUUUUUUUAAUUCUAAGAAGUGAUUUUUCUUUGAUUUAUUCAAUUUGAAAUUAAAAAAAAUGCAAAAAAAAGAAAAAUAUGUGCAAAAAUCACUUCUCGUGUUUGUAAAGACUGUGAACCAACAAUGGAUGCCCUUGCAUAUAUUCAAUAUUCUUAAAUUGAACUUGGUUAAAUUAGGUUUUUCUUUUCCCUGUGUAUAGAGAGCUAUUAUUGGCACUCCCAUACAAAAAGUGCAGAGAAUUUUGGAGCGCUAAGCAGAUAAAAGACAAUCUCAUUUCAAAGGCCCAAUAAUGUUAAGAAUGUUCGGCCCAAAACAAAUCUAUUGAUGAGUUGAACCGGGUUUUGCUUUUUUCACAUAAGUGUAGUAUUGAGGUAGAAGAGAGAAAUGAACGAGUUGAACCGGGUUUAGGUCAAGCAAAAUAUCAAUUUGAAUCACUGGACACGGAGUCGGUUCAGGACCAACAGGAUCCUCUCCGGAUCUUUUGGUGAGAAUCCUGGGUCCCAUGAAUUAUGUCAGUUUAUAGUACAUCGUACGGUCAGUUUUUAUCAAGUACUAUUUGUGUUUAAUUUUAAAUAAAAUUAUUUAAAAUUAUUUCUGACAACAUGAUGUACGAUGAAAUGACACGAUUCACGGAUCUCCGAAAUUCUCACAAAGAGGAUCCGGCGAGGUUUAGGAAAAACCAACCCUAACCCACAGUUGUUCUAGAAAAUUCUUAACUAUCUAUAACAUGAUCACGUUCCGUAUAAGUUCUUUUUUUUUAUAACAUAUAUUUAUUUUUUAUUAAUAAUCCAGAGAAGUGAGACACAUCAACUUGUUCUAUGCGAAAAGUGCAAAAAUUUCUCCAUUUUUGUUCCCAAAUUGUAGAAAUUCAUGUCAAACACCGACUCCAUCAUGAUAUUCGAACUAACGACACAAUGUCUAGUGAAAAGUUAAAACACAUAUUUUCCCCAAAAAAAAAAGUUAAAGCACAUAACAUUAAGUAUUGAUCGUAAUGUCACGUGCCAAAAUUACAGGUCGUAGUUUAAAAAAAAAUAAUAAUAAUCAACCGGUGAUUUUGCCACGGCAGUCCAUCAUUCCAAAGGUCAGAAAGAUUCACAAAAGCGUUUGAACCUUCCCUGUCCACCAUUGUGUAAUUUAUCAACGUCAAGGGUUGAACCCAAAACGUAUCGUGUGAAAUACAGAAGUAUGCAUUAACAGAUCUAGUAAUGGAAAUUUAGUAACAGAAAUCAAGCACUUGAAAAUGUGCAUAGCAGCAAUUCUCAAAAGGAUGAAAUGAGACAAACAAUGCAUCUGUAUUAUCUUCCCAAAGAGGAUGCGAAAAACAGUAAAUCUGUAGGAUUUCAACUGAAUUAGUACUACGCAUUCCACCAACCGUGGCACAAACAUUCUUCGGAAUCAUCCAACUGUAGCAUCCUACCGGCAGCGGUGGUGGCAUGGAUAGUAGCAUUUCAUAACUCCGUCCAGCUCUGCCGUGACUUUCUGCUUCUCCCUGUACGGCUGCUGCUCUUCAUCCUCACCCAUAAAACUUCUCAAC
rnacentral:lncRNA from 1 species